UGAUCACCUCUAUUGUUGCUUUU
rnacentral:miRNA from 1 species